CUUUGGUAUAGAAAAAGUACAAGAAGAUAAAGAUGAUGAUGGUGGAUUUUCAGGUCGAGGACCGUAUGCAGGUAGGCAAGAGAAUGAUUAUGAUAUAGGUCCAGAAUUUGCUGAAAUUCUUGGGAGUGUUCUAGAUGAUCCCCAAAAUGCACGGUCCAAAAUUGAAGAGAGAAGAAGAAAGAAAGAAAAGCAUGCAAGAAGGGAAGCAAAGGACAUUGAUAUAGAAGUACAAGAAGAUGAAGAUGAUGGUGGUGGAUAUUCAGGUCCAGGAGUAUAUACAGGUAGGGAAGAGAAGGACUACGAUAGAGAUCCAGAAUUUGCUGAAAUUCUUGGGAGUGUUGUAGAUGAUCCCCAAAAGGCACAGUCCAGAAUUGAAGAGAGAAUAAGAAACAAAAGGAACGAUAUAAUUCACACAAAAACUGGAUCAGGAAUAGCAAUGAGCGUGUCAUUUAACAA